AGUCAGAGGCGAUGAAGGGCGUGCUAAUCUGCGAUAAGCGCCGGUAAGGUGAUAUGAACCGUUAUAACCGGCGAUACCCGAAUGGGGAAACCCAGUGUGAUUCGUCACACUAUCAUUAACUGAAUCCAUAGGUUAAUGAGGCGAACCGGGGGAACUGAAACAUCUAAGUACCCCGAGGAAAAGAAAUCAACCGAGAUUCCCCCAGUAGCGGCGAGCGAACGGGGAGGAGCCCAGAGCCUGAAUCAGCAUGUGUGUUAGUGGAAGCGUCUGGAAAGGCGCGCGAUACAGGGUGACAGCCCCGUACACAAAAGCGCAUGUGCUGUGAGCUCGAUGAGUAGGGCGGGACACGUGGUAUCCUGUCUGAAUAUGGGGGGACCAUCCUCCAAGGCUAAAUACUCCUGACUGACCGAUAGUGAACCAGUACCGUGAGGGAAAGGCGAAAAGAACCCCGGCGAGGGGAGUGAAAAAGAACCUGAAACCGUGUACGUACAAGCAGUGGGAGCACCCUUUGGGUGUGACUGCGUACCUUUUGUAUAAUGGGUCAGCGACUUAUAUUCUGUAGCAAGGUUAACCGAAUAGGGGAGCCGGAGGGAAACCGAGUCUUAACCGGGCGUUAAGUUGCAGGGUAUAGACCCGAAACCCGGUGAUCUAGCCAUGGGCAGGUUGAAGGUUGGGUAACACUAACUGGAGGACCGAACCGACUAAUGUUGAAAAAUUAGCGGAUGACCUGUGGCUGGGGGUGAAAGGCCAAUCAAACCGGGAGAUAGCUGGUUCUCCCCGAAAGCUAUUUAGGUAGCGCCUCGUGAAUUCAUCUCCGGGGGUAGAGCACUGUUUCGGCUAGGGGGCCAUCCCGGCUUACCAACCCGAUGCAAACUGCGAAUACCGGAGAAUGUUAUCACGGGAGACACACGGCGGGUGCUAACGUCCGUCGUGAAGAGGGAAACAACCCAGACCGCCAGCUAAGGUCCCAAAGUCAUGGUUAAGUGGGAAACGAUGUGGGAAGGCCCAGACAGCCAGGAUGUUGGCUUAGAAGCAGCCAUCAUUUAAAGAAAGCGUAAUAGCUCACUGGUCGAGUCGGCCUGCGCGGAAGAUGUAACGGGGCUAAACCAUGCACCGAAGCUGCGGCAGCGACACUGUGUGUUGUUGGGUAGGGGAGCGUUCUGUAAGCCUGUGAAGGUGUGUCGUGAGGCAUGCUGGAGGUAUCAGAAGUGCGAAUGCUGACAUAAGUAACGAUAAAGCGGGUGAAAAGCCCGCUCGCCGGAAGACCAAGGGUUCCUGUCCAACGUUAAUCGGGGCAGGGUGAGUCGACCCCUAAGGCGAGGCCGAAAGGCGUAGUCGAUGGGAAACGGGUUAAUAUUCCCGUACUUGGUGUUACUGCGAAGGGGGGACGGAGAAGGCUAUGUUGGCCGGGCGACGGUUGUCCCGGUUUAAGCGUGUAGGUGUGUGUUCCAGGUAAAUCCGGUUCACUUUAACACUGAGGCGUGACGACGAGGCACUACGGUGCUGAAGCAACAAAUGCCCUGCUUCCAGGAAAAGCCUCUAAGCAUCAGGUAACAUCAAAUCGUACCCCAAACCGACACAGGUGGUCAGGUAGAGAAUACCAAGGCGCUUGAGAGAACUCGGGUGAAGGAACUAGGCAAAAUGGUGCCGUAACUUCGGGAGAAGGCACGCUGACACGUAGGUGAAGUGAUUUACUCAUGGAGCUGAAGUCAGUCGAAGAUACCAGCUGGCUGCAACUGUUUAUUAAAAACACAGCACUGUGCAAACACGAAAGUGGACGUAUACGGUGUGACGCCUGCCCGGUGCCGGAAGGUUAAUUGAUGGGGUCAGCGCAAGCGAAGCUCCUGAUCGAAGCCCCGGUAAACGGCGGCCGUAACUAUAACGGUCCUAAGGUAGCGAAAUUCCUUGUCGGGUAAGUUCCGACCUGCACGAAUGGCGUAAUGAUGGCCAGGCUGUCUCCACCCGAGACUCAGUGAAAUUGAACUCGCUGUGAAGAUGCAGUGUACCCGCGGCAAGACGGAAAGACCCCGUGAACCUUUACUAUAGCUUGACACUGAACAUUGAGCCUUGAUGUGUAGGAUAGGUGGGAGGCUUUGAAGUGUGGACGCCAGUCUGCAUGGAGCCGACCUUGAAAUACCACCCUUUAAUGUUUGAUGUUCUAACGUGGACCCGUUACCCGGGUUGCGGACAGUGUCUGGUGGGUAGUUUGACUGGGGCGGUCUCCUCCUAAAGAGUAACGGAGGAGCACGAAGGUUGGCUAAUCCUGGUCGGACAUCAGGAGGUUAGUGCAAUGGCAUAAGCCAGCUUGACUGCGAGCGUGACGGCGCGAGCAGGUGCGAAAGCAGGUCAUAGUGAUCCGGUGGUUCUGAAUGGAAGGGCCAUCGCUCAACGGAUAAAAGGUACUCCGGGGAUAACAGGCUGAUACCGCCCAAGAGUUCAUAUCGACGGCGGUGUUUGGCACCUCGAUGUCGGCUCAUCACAUCCUGGGGCUGAAGUAGGUCCCAAGGGUAUGGCUGUUCGCCAUUUAAAGUGGUACGCGAGCUGGGUUUAGAACGUCGUGAGACAGUUCGGUCCCUAUCUGCCGUGGGCGCUGGAGAACUGAGGGGGGCUGCUCCUAGUACGAGAGGACCGGAGUGGACGCAUCACUGGUGUUCGGGUUGUCAUGCCAAUGGCACUGCCCGGUAGCUAAAUGCGGAAGAGAUAAGUGCUGAAAGCAUCUAAGCACGAAACUUGCCCCGA
rnacentral:rRNA from 1 species